rnacentral:rRNA from 1 species
UACGUAGGUGGCGAGCGUUAUCCGGAAUUAUUGGGCGUAAAGCGCGCGCAGGCGGUCCUUUAAGUCUGAUGUGAAAGCCCUCGGCUCAACCGAGGAAGGUCAUUGGAAACUGGAGGACUUGAGUGCAGAAGAGGAAAGUGGAAUUCCAAGUGUAGCGGUGAAAUGCGUAGAGAUUUGGAGGAACACCAGUGGCGAAGGCGACUUUCUGGUCUGUAACUGACGCUGAGGCGCGAAAGCGUGGGGAGCAAACAGG